UUUGGCAUUGGGCUUGCGCGCCAUGAUGCCAUUGCCGACCGCGUGUAACAGGUGGGUUUUCCCCAAGCCCGUACCGCCAUA
rnacentral:antisense_RNA from 1 species